rnacentral:rRNA from 1 species
CGGGUGAGUAACACGUGGAUAACCUACCUAUAAGACUGGGAUAACUUCGGGAAACCGGAGCUAAUACCGGAUAAUAUAUUGAACCGCAUGGUUCAAUAGUGAAAGACGGUUUUGCUGUCACUUAUAGAUGGAUCCGCGCCGCAUUAGCUAGUUGGUAAGGUAACAGCUUACAAGGCAACGAUGCGUAGCCGACCUGAGAGGGUGAUCGGCCACACUGGAACUGAGACACGGUCCAG